GACGAACGCUGGCGGUGUGCCUAAUACAUGCAAGUCGAGCGCUGACGGUUUGUACUUGUACCAACUGGAUGAGCAGCGAACGGGCGAGUAACGCGUGGGGAAUCUGCCUCUUAGCCGGGGACAACAUUGGGAAACGAAUGCUACUACCGCAUAAAACCUUUAAACACAAGAUUCAAGGUUGAAAGAUGCAAUGCCAUCACGCAAAAAUCAACCCGCGUUUUAUUAGCUAGUUGGUGAGGUAACGGCCCACCAAGGCGAUGAUACAUAGCCGACCUGGGAGGGUGGUCGGCCACAGUUGGACUGGGACACGGGCCAAACUCCUACGGGAGGCAGCAGUAGGGGAUCUUCGGCCAUAGACGGAAGUCUGACCGCGCAACGCCGCGGGAGUGGAGAAGGUUUUCGGGUCGUAAAACUCUGUUUGUAGGGAAGAACGUUGGUGAGAGUGGAAAGCUCAUCAAGUGACGGUAACUACCCAGAAAGCGCCGGCUAACUUCGUG
rnacentral:rRNA from 1 species